CCCGCUCAGAAACUCAAAGGAAUUGACGGGGCCCGCACAAGCGGUGGAGCAUGUGGUUUAAUUCGAUGAUACGCGAGGAACCUUACCUGGGCUCAAAUGUAUGUUUGACGUAUUCUGAAAGGGAUACUUCUUCGGACAAUAUACAAGGUGCUGCAUGGUUGUCGUCAGCUCGUGCCGUGAGGUGUCGGGUUAAGUCCCAUAACGAGCGCAACCCCUAUCAUUAGUUGCCAUCAGGUCAAGCUGGGGACUCUAAUGAAACUGCCUACGCAAGUAGUGAGGAAGGUGGGGAUGACGUCAAAUCAGCACGGCCCUUACGUCCAGGGCUACACACGUGCUACAAUGGCCGAUACAGAGGGCAGCUACCUGGUGACAGGAUGCAAAUCUCCAAAGUCGGUCUCAGUUCGGAUCGGAGUCUGCAACCCGACUCCGUGAAGUUGGAUUCGCUAGUAAUCGCGCAUCAGCCAUGGCGCGGUGAAUACGUUCCCGGGCCUU
rnacentral:rRNA from 1 species